rnacentral:rRNA from 1 species
UACGAGAGGCCCAAACGUUAUUCGGAAUUACUGGGCUUAAAGAGUUCGUAGGCGGCAUGACAAGUAGGGUGUGAAAGCCCUCGGCUCAACCGAGGAAUUGCGCUCUAAACUGUCGUGCUAGAGGAACCUAGAGGUGAGCAGAACUGAUGGUGGAGCGGUGAAAUGCGUUGAUAUCAUCAGGAAUACCGGAGGCGAAGGCGGCUCACUGGGAGUUUUCUGACGCUGAG